rnacentral:rRNA from 1 species
UACGAAGGUGGCAAGCGUUGUUCGGAUUUACUGGGCGUACAGGGAGCGUAGGCGGUUGGGUAAGCCCUCCGUUAAAUCUCCGGGACUAACCCGGAAAGGGCGGAGGGGACUGCUCGGCUAGAGGAUGGGAGAGGAGCGCGGAAUUCCCGGUGUAGCGGUGAAAUGCGUAGAGAUCGGGAGGAAGGCCGGUGGCGAAGGCGGCGCUCUGGAACAUUUCUGACGCUGAGGCUCGAAAGCGUGGGGAGCAAACAGG